GGUAAUUUUGAAUUUAAAAGAAGGUUAAAGCAAAUUUGCGUUCCGAGCUACACGAAUCACAUUUACGCUAACUAUAACUAGAUGAGUUUGCAAAACAAAAUGAAGUCCCUAUUGUGCGAAAGUUAUUACAUUAAAUAUGACGAAUAUAUGAAAUGAAAGAUUU
rnacentral:ncRNA from 1 species